AAAAAAAAAAAAAAAAAUUCAAAGAAAAAUACAUAUCAUCAUCCAUCAAGCAUAUCAGCAUCCCUAGAACAGGAAGCACAUGAUAACAGCCAACGUGGAAACCGAAAUACCAGCCAAGAGCUUAGAAGAUGAAGAUCCUGGUGGAGGAGGGGUGUUAACGUUGGGGCCCAUUGCCCCUGGAGGAGUUGAAGGGCUUGUGGGCGCACCUGCUGGGGCAUCAGGUGGGCAAAGGGCGGGGGUAUUUGUGGGUGAAGGAGUGGUUGGUGGGGACAGUCUAGGGGUGGUGGAGGGCGGUGAGGCUCCUGGUGCACCUCCUGAUGACGAGACAGUGAUGGCAAGUUUCUGGCCAAAUUGACAAUGCUGGGAAAAUGUACAGAUAUAGUAGUGAUCUCCAGCGUCGUCCAGGGUGAUGUUGACAGGGCCGGCGGUGAUUACGUUCCCAAUAGAAUUUGAAGAAGAGCAUGCAUCGAAGGAAUCCUUCUGGACUCGGAGUACAUCGUGCUCAUUGGUAGUAAAGUUGAAAGUUAGGAUAUCCCCAACAACGAAAUUCUUGCCAUUAGCCCAGUUUGUGUAAGCUUGUGCACCACCCUGUGGAAUAGUCCAAUAACCUAUGUUAUCCCCCACUACAUGCACCGUCUGUGCCGCUGCACACUGCAGCAAAACCACAGAAACAAACCCGAAAGCUACACUAAUAAACCUUGCCAUUUUCUUUAAUUUUUUUUUUCCUUUUCUUUGGAACCUUUUCUUAAUUUCUGCUUGGAACUAU
rnacentral:misc_RNA from 1 species